GCCAGGGUAGCUCAGGGGUAGAGCAGAGGACUCAUAAGCCUUUGGUCGGGGGUUCAAUUCCCUCCCCUGGCACCA
rnacentral:tRNA from 1 species